AUUGAACGCUGGCGGCAUGCCUUACACAUGCAAGUCGAACGGCAGCACGGGAGCAAUCCUGGUGGCGAGUGGCGAACGGGUGAGUAAAGUAUCGGAACGUGCCCAGUCGUGGGGGAUAACGUAGCGAAUGUUACGCUAAUACCGCAUACGAUCUAUGGAUGAAAGCGGGGGAUCGCAAGACCUCGCGCGAUUGGAGCGGCCGAUAUCAGAUUAGGUAGUUGGUGGGGUAAAGGCUCACCAAGCCGACGAUCUGUAGCUGGUCUGAGAGGACGACCAACCAGACUGGGACUGAGAGAUGGCCCAGACUCCUGCGGGAGGCAGCAGUGGGGAAUUUGGGACAAUGGGCGAAAGCCUGAUCCAGCCAUGCCGCGUGCAGGAUGAAGGGCUUCGGGUUGUAAACUGCUUUUGUACGGAACGAAAAGGUUUGGCCUAAUAAGCUGAGCUCAUGACGGUACCGUAAGAAUAAGCACCGGCUAACUACGUGCCAGCCGCCGCAGUAA
rnacentral:rRNA from 1 species